UCCAAAUCUCCUCUGGCAUUUGGCAGCAAUUCCCUUCUUCAGUGUGAAUGGCAGAUGUUAAGUUGUUUCAGAAAAGGGAAGGAUACAAGGUUCACCCUACAGCCUUAAAUUUCUCAAGAGGUUAAGGACACCGCAAGUAUGACUACAUUCUAUUAACGUACUGUCCUACACCUGUCAAAAAUUUACAUCUUUGGUAUGUUCACUGUAAAUGUUUAGUCUGUCUGAUUGCUGUAUUUUGUACAUCAUAAACUUUACUACUGCUAUGUAAAAUAGUAUUUUCAAAUGCUGA